rnacentral:rRNA from 1 species
AUUGAACGCUGGCGGAAUGCUUUACACAUGCAAGUCGAACGGCAGCACGGGGCAACCUGGUGGCGAGUGGCGAACGGGUGAGUAAUACAUCGGAACGUGCCCAAUCGUGGGGGAUAACGUAGCGAAAGUUACGCUAAUACCGCAUACGAUCUACGGAUGAAAGCGGGGGAUCGCAAGACCUCGCGCGAAUGGAGCGGCCGAUGUCAGAUUAGGUAGUUGGUGGGGUAAAGGCUCACCAAGCCAAUGAUCUGUAGCUGGUCUGAGAGGACGACCAGCCACACUGGAACUGAGACACGGUCCAGACUCCUACGGGAGGCAGCAGUGGGGAAUUUUGGACAAUGGGCGCAAGCCUGAUCCAGCCAUUCCGCGUGCAGGAUGAAGGCCUUCGGUUGUAACUAGCUUUGUACGGUAACGAAAGAAGUACUCUUCUAAUAAAGGGGUACCGAUGACGGUACCGUAAGAAUAAGACACCGGCUAACUACGUAGCCAGCAGCCGCGGU